rnacentral:rRNA from 1 species
GGAGUUAGCCGGUGCUUCUUCUGUGAGUGAUGUCCUUCCUGCCGGCUAUUAACCCGCAGGCCUUCUUCCUCACUGAAAGUGCUUUACAACCCGAAGGCCUUCUUCACACACGCGGCAUGGCUGGAUCAGGGUUGCCCCCAUUGUCCAAUAUUCCCCACUGCUGCCUCCCGUAGGAGUCUGGGCCGUGUCUCAGUCCCAGUGUGGCUGAUCAUCCUCUCAGACCAGCUACGGAUCGUCGCCUUGGUGAGCCGUUACCUCACCAACCAGCUAAUCCGACAUAGGCUCAUCCGAUAGCGCGAGGCCCGAAGGUCCCCCGCUUUCCCCCGUAGGGCGUAUGCGGUAUUAGCCUGGGUUUCCCCAGGUUAUCCCCCACUACCGGGCAGAUUCCUAUGCAUUACUCACCCGUCCGCCGCUCGCCACCAGGGAGCAAGCUCCCCGUGCUGCCGCUCGACUUGCAUGUGUUAGGCCUGCCGCCCAGCGUUCAAUCUGACGACCAGAACUACAAACUCUAGA